GGACUGUUAGGGGGUGUGUGUGUGUGGAGACAAUGUGGACUGUUAGGGGUGUGUGUGUGUGGAGACAAUGUGGACUGUUAGGGGUGUGUGUGUGUGGAGACAAUGUGGACUGUUAGGGGUGUGUGUGUGUGGAGACAAUGUGGACUGUGUGUGUGUGUGUGUGGAGACAAUGUGGACUGUGUGGGUGUGUGUGUGGAGACAAUGUGGACUGUUAGGGGUGUGUGUGUGUGUGUGUGUGUGGAGACCAUGUGGACUGUUAGGGGUGUGUGUGUGUGUGUGUGUGUGUGGAGACCAUGUGGACUGUUAGGGGUGUGUGUGUGUGUGUGUGUGUGUGGAGACCAUGUGGACUGUUAGGGGUGUGUGUGUGUGUGUGGAGACCAUGUGGACUGUUAGGGGUGUGUGUGUGUGUGGAGACCAUGUGGACUGUUAGGGGUGUGUGUGUGUGUGUGGAGACCAUGUGGACUGUUAGGGGUGUGUGUGUGUGUGUGGAGACCAUGUGGACUGUUAGGGGGGUGUGUGUGUGUGUGGAGACCAUGUGGACUGUUAGGGGUGUGUGUGUGUGUGUGGAGACCAUGUGGACUGUUAGGGGUGUGUGUGUGUGUGUG